GUUAAACUUACUUUUGGUAGGGGAGUGAAUGCCUGAGUGAAUAACUCAGGGUGACAGUACUCUCUGAAUAAGCCACGGCUAACUACGUGC
rnacentral:rRNA from 1 species